UGGGGAAUAUUGGACAAUGGGCGCAAGCCUGAUCCAGCCAUGCCGCGUGGAUGAUGAAGGCCCUAGGGUUGUAAAGUCCUUUCGACGGGGAAGAUAAUGACGGUACCCGUAGAAGAAGCCCCGGCUAACUUCGUGCCAGCAGCCGCGGUAAUACGAAGGGGGCUAGCGUUGCUCGGAAUCACUGGGCGUAAAGCGCACGUAGGCGGAUUUCUAAGUCAGGGGUGAAAUCCCGGAGCUCAACUCCGGAACUGCCCUUGAUACUGGAGAUCUCGAGUUCGGGAGAGGUGAGUGGAACUGCGAGUGUAGAGGUGAAAUUCGUAGAUAUUCGCAAGAACACCAGCGGCGCAGGCGGCUCACUAGACAGUUUCUGACGCUAAGAUACGAAAGCGUGGGGAGCAAACA
rnacentral:rRNA from 1 species